AGUGAACGCUGGCGGUAGGCCUAACACAUGCAAGUCGAACGGCAGCACAGUAAGAGCUUGCUCUUACGGGUGGCGAGUGGCGGACGGGUGAGGAAUACAUCGGAAUCUACUUUUUCGUGGGGGAUAACGUAGGGAAACUUACGCUAAUACCGCAUACGACCUACGGGUGAAAGCAGGGGAUCUUCGGACCUUGCGCGAUUGAAUGAGCCGAUGUCGGAUUAGCUAGUUGGCGGGGUAAAGGCCCACCAAGGCGACGAUCCGCAGCUGGUCUGAGAGGAUGAUCAGCCACACUGGGACUGAGACACGGUCCAGACUCCUACGGGAGGCAGCAGUGGGGAAUAUUGGACAAUGGGCGCAAGCCUGAUCCAGCCAUACCGCGUGGGUGAAGAAGGCCUUCGGGUUGUAAAGCCCUUUUGUUGGGAAAGAAAAGCAGCAGGUUAAUACCCCGCUGUUCUGACGGUACCCAAAGAAUAAGCACCGGCUAACUUCGUG
rnacentral:rRNA from 1 species